CCGCGUCUUUGAUCGAAACGUAAACAAAUGUCCAAGGUGGUUUGAAACCAUUCGUGAAGUUUAAAAAUUCUGUAAAUGAAAACAUCGAAUUCCACCUUUUAAACCACCAUGAAGUCGUUGAAACAUUCUAAGCAUGCACAAAAUAAAAAAGGACACAAAACAAGACGGCAGCUUAGAGCACAGGAAGCAGCAGCCGCUAAACGGCUAGUAGACGAUGCAAAUGCACAGAUAAAUCCCCUGGCAGCACUUACUUUUCAUACUUUUACAGCUAAGGACGAAUCUGUAAUGGACGUUAUAUGUAGCCGGGUAGCCGAUUUACCCGAAGAAACUCUUACUUGGAUAUUUAAUUUAAUGGAACGUAACAUGAAAGAAAUGUAUGAACAGUCGAGUUGGGGUUGGGAUCUGGUUUCAAAAAAGCAGGAAUUAACUGAACCAGCAGCUUGGUAUUUGGUUGCUUCUUCUAAAGAUGAACUUUUAGGAUUUUCUCAUUUUCGAUUCGAUAUCGAUCACGGAGUGGAGGUGUUGUAUUGCUAUGAAUUGCAAUUGGAACCCAUAGCAAGGCGUAAAGGACUUGGCCAGUUUUUAAUGCAAACCUUAGAAUCAAUGGCAUGCCACAGUCAAAUGCAAAAAGUUGUACUAACUGUGCUUAAACACAACGUUACAGCUAUUCCUUUUUUUCACACACUAGGCUACAAACUGGACAACACGAGCCCACCUGCCUCUGAGAAAGUGGACUAUGCCAUCCUGAGUAAAUAUGUGUGAAAUAAAUUGCAGUCAUUGUGACGGAAUAAUACAUAUUUUGCAGAAAGGUACGUCUGACCCUUUUGUACUUUUUAACAAACGUGUUCUAAAAAUUCGAGCAUUGAUUCUCGCCUUUUCUCGAGUUUCUGCAAAUGUUCAAUGUUUAGCUUUUUCCUGUUUGUGGAAUGAUCUUAACUUUUUCCUCUGCCGCAUCGAAUUUAAAAAUCAGUACACGAGGGAAUGCAUUAAUGGACGAAUAAUGGAGACACAUACGAGACACUGCUAUAUGUGAAGAAAUCAGAGGAGACACGAGAAUUACAGUCCAACGAUUGGAACGUGUUGAUAAAAAGUACAGCCGGUCAGCUGUUGCCUCGUUGAAAAAUAUGUAAUCCUGAGUGAACGGUGACACCACCUGCCACCGAU
rnacentral:misc_RNA from 1 species